UUUGCCUACGGGGCGCAGCAGUAGGGAAUCUUCCACAAUGGGCGAAAGCCUGAUGGAGCAACGCCGCGUGGGUGAAGAAGGUCUUCGGAUUGUAAAAUUCUGUCCUAUGGGAAGAAACAAAUGACGGUACCAUAGGAGGAAGCCCCGGCUAACUACGUGCCAGCAGCCGCGGUAAUACGUAGGGGGCGAGCGUUGUCCGGAAUUACUGGGCGUAAAGAGAGCGUAGGCGGCACUACAAGUCUCAUGUGAAAUACCCGGGCUUAACUUGGGGGUUGCAUGGGAAACUGUAUAGCUUGAGUACAGGG
rnacentral:rRNA from 1 species